CUAUAUAUCAAAUAUGACUUAGAAUAAAUUUUACUUAGUAAUUUAAGGCCUUGAAAUUGGGCCUCUGUCUCUUUAAAAACUCCUGCUCUUUCUGAAACUCCACCUCCAGGAAGUCGUCACAACAUCACUUCUCUAUUAACCCUUUAAGAACGUUUUCACCAGCGCUGCACUGAGAAAUAGCUUAUAUAACAUGAUCAGCAAAUCCAUA